GAUUUUGGAAGGCCCAAGUUAGGUGCCCACGCCACAUCCCUUACCCAAUCUGUAUGCAUUUGAAGAGCUGGAAAGCAGUCCAUCUUCCAAAUUCCAUUGUAGAGCUUCCACACUUUCACAGUAUUGUCACAACCACCUGAGCAAAGCUUCUGAACAGGGUCAAGCAAAGCAGAACCAACAAGAGCACCAGGUGCAGUUGAUGGGGCCCAAGAAACUGAAGUUACUCCAACUGGGUGAGCUUGAUCAAUUUUGGAUGUGUCCCAACCACCAUCUGCUCGUGCAGUAAAGACUGAUAUAUUUCCAUCUGAAGAGCCACAUGCCAAACAAAGACCAAUCUCAUGAGGUGCCCAAGCAAUAGAGUUAACAGAUGACUUGUGGUCAUCAAAUACAUGAGCUUGAGUCCACUCAUUUUGAUUGCCCUCCUUCCAUAUUAUGACACG
rnacentral:misc_RNA from 1 species